rnacentral:rRNA from 1 species
AUGCAAGUCGAGCGGUAAGGCCCUUCGGGGUACACGAGCGGCGAACGGGUGAGUAACACGUGGGUGAUCUGCCUCGUACUUCGGGAUAAGCCUGGGAAACUGGGUCUAAUACCGGAUAGGACCUCUUGUCGCAUGGCUUGGGGUGGAAAGAUUUAUCGGUGCGAGAUGGGCCCGCGGCCUAUCAGCUUGUUGGUGGGGUAAUGGCCUACCAAGGCGACGACGGGUAGCCGGCCUGAGAGGGCGACCGGCCACACUGGGACUGAGACACGGCCCAGACUCCUACGGGAGGCAGCAGUGGGGAAUAUUGCACAAUGGGCGGAAGCCUGAUGCAGCGACGCCGCGUGAGGGAUGACGGCCUUCGGGUUGUAAACCUCUUUCGACAGGGACGAAGCGCAAGUGACGGUACCUGUAGAAGAAGCACCGGCCAACUACGUGCCAGCAGCCGCGGUAAUACGUAGGGUGCGAGCGUUGUCCGGAAUUACUGGGCGUAAAGAGCUUGUAGGCGGUUUGUCGCGUCGUCUGUGAAAACUCACAGCUCAACUGUGAGCUUGCAGGCGAUACGGGCAGACUUGAGUACUGCAGGGGAGACUGGAAUUCCUGGUGUAGCGGUGAAAUGCGCAGAUAUCAGGAGGAACACCGGUGGCGAAGGCGGGUCUCUGGGCAGUAACUGACGCUGAGAAGCGAAAGCGUGGGUAGCGAACAGGAUUAGAUACCCUGGUAGUCCACGCCGUAAACGGUGGGCGCUAGGUGUGGGUUUCCUUCCACGGGAUCCGUGCCGUAGCUAACGCAUUAAGCGCCCCGCCUGGGGAGUACGGCCGCAAGGCUAAAACUCAAAGGAAUUGACGGGGGCCCGCACAAGCGGCGGAGCAUGUGGAUUAAUUCGAUGCAACGCGAAGAACCUUACCUGGGUUUGACAUACACCGGAAACCUGCAGAGAUGUAGGCCCCCUUGUGGUCGGUGUACAGGUGGUGCAUGGCUGUCGUCAGCUCGUGUCGUGAGAUGUUGGGUUAAGUCCCGCAACGAGCGCAACCCUUGUCCUGUGUUGCCAGCACGUAAUGGUGGGGACUCGCAGGAGACUGCCGGGGUCAACUCGGAGGAAGGUGGGGACGACGUCAAGUCAUCAUGCCCCUUAUGUCCAGGGCUUCACACAUGCUACAAUGGGCGGUACAGAGGGCUGCGAGACCGUGAGGUGGAGCGAAUCCCUUAAAGCCGUUCUCAGUUCGGAUCGGGGUCUGCAACUCGACCCCGUGAAGUUGGAGUCGCUAGUAAUCGCAGAUCAGCAAACGCUGCGGUGAAUACGUUCCCGGGCCUUGUACACACCGCCCGUCACGUCAUGAAAGUCGGUAACACCCGAAGCCGGUGGCCCAACCCU